rnacentral:rRNA from 1 species
GUGAUAUGGAGCAAAACCCUAAAAAGACGGUCUCAGUUCGGAUUGAAGGCUGAAAUUCGCCUUCAUGAAGCUGGAAUUGCUAGUAAUGGCAGGUCAGCAUACUGCCGUGAAUACGUUCCCGGGCCUUGUACACACCGCCCGUCACACCAUGAGAGUUGGAAAUACCCGAAGCCUGUGAGCUAACUGUAAAGAGGCAGCAGUCGAAGGUAGAGCCAAUGAUUGGGGUGAAGUCGUAACAAGGUAGC